ensembl:lncRNA
UGGCUGACAGGCAUCUGACUGACGGAUACUCUCUAAUCCCUAUUCUCUCCCCAGAUUUUCUUCCUAAUUAGUGUCCUCUAGACCCUUGUAAUCACAUGCCACGCAAAUGAACUGCCUGUUAUUCAGCCAAACAGAUGACAGUGGACUGGGUGACUUCCUCUGUCGCCAGCAGGCUGGAAGAAAAGAAGCGGGGAGACACUACACGCUGUAAAUGCUUCUUUUCCGCGUCGGGAAAAGGGAACGGCGGCCGCGGGCACAGGGCGGGGGUGCAGCGCCCUCUGCAGGCUGCGCCGCCACCGCCACGCACCCGGGCACCGCAUCCACCGCGCCCAACGGCGGGGCUCAGGGAUUCCGGGAAUAAAUCGCUUCCUUCUGUGUUGCUAGCAUUCUAUAUUAAUCGGAAAGAACCCCAACAAACAACUAACAAAACAAACCACACCGAAACAGAAUAUGGAAGAUGUGGAAUCACCACUGUCCGGCAGGAAUCCCUCGGAAGUGGCCUCAAGUUGAGCCAGGGGAAGUUCAGGCCACUGCUGGGCAGAGAAGACAGAGGCAAGCCCCCUCCUGGAAGGGACUGUUGCAUGGGCUGGCUCAUUGGAAGCCAGGGGCAGCUGAGUGUGUCCCAGCAUUUUCCCUGCCCUCCAGUGUGCACUCCUCAUGACAGCAAGGGCUCAGUGUCCUUCUUCAGCAUGGUAAGUGGAGUCUCUGUCACUCCUUCAAAAACACUGGGUACAAACCCCACCAUCCCUGCAGUACCCUUCUCUUCUGACGCCAAACUCAACUCCCACACUUACCUGAUCAAUUGGUUUGAUUUAUUUAUUUUAUUUAAACCACACAUGAGCCACCAAAUUUAAACCUAGGAAUUACUAUUUUCCACAGUCUAGAAUGUCAAGGGAGACAAAUAUACUGUGGCCUCCAAAGUGCUGUCUUUCAAGAGGGAAUUAACAUCGUACCCUGCUUCCCUCUUCCACCUCACAGCUGCACGCAGCUCUGCUCAGCCAAGGUUCAGAAACAGACUCAUUAAGUAAGAAAAUGAUCGUCAACAUUUUAUCACCUUCUUUUCUCCAGAUUUCCUGCUAGUUGGCAACAAAAAAGACCCAAGGUAGGUGGAGGUGAGCAGGGAUCUUAACAUUGCAAGAGCAGAAAUUGGCUUUUAUAAAUACACCUGAUGGCCCAAUAAUUGAUACAGUCUCUUAAUACAUACACUCACUUCAUGGCAAUUAGAUCUGUAGUCUAAGCAUUUCUGGACUUUUUGCCAGGAAAGAAUUGGGAAAUUAAUGAAGGCAAAUUAAUUAUUUGUCCCCAUGGUUUCUGAUGUAAGAAUACAGCUGUUCUUUAUCAGCGUAAUUCAUUUUUAAUGUCUCCCAAAGCUCAGCUCAGCUAUAUGCCCAUGUUCUUCAUAUGCCAAGCUUCUGUUCUGAUUAAAUAUCAAAUGGUUUUUAAAUAUCAAAAUGGUUCUGUAUUUCUGAGCUCUGUUAUGAGCUGUGGGGAAAGAAAAACAAGGACUCCUUUGAUCAUACACACAUGAGUUUUAUAUGAUGACACCACCACUGGGUCCUACGGAUGUAGUCCCACUGUACACUUAGGGAAGUGAGGGAAGCUAGAUUAUGUGCCAUGACAUAU